CACAUUCCCAGCACAGCUCCACAAUAUCUCUCUGGCUUUGGACUGUUUUUGAAAAGAAAGGUGCCAUGUUACUGCACUGCAGCCAGGCCUGGAUCUCUUAGAAAGAAAUCCAAGCUCAAAAAAUGUUUACUGAAGGUGUCCAUUGAAGAUGAAGCAGGUUUUGAACAAAUGUGUCUCGGGGACUGUUUGUUAGCUAAUUUUUCAUCUGAGUUUCCAGCUGCACCAGCAACCUGACUAAAGAAAAAAGAAGAACAGAAUUUGAGCAUGCAGGACAUUCUUCAAGGCUGUUUCUCAAGCCAUAUCCAUUCUCUACUGUUUGUCUGGAUGAUCCACCUCCAUGAUUUUCUACAGCACAUCUUAUAAAAGCUAAAUUCAACUUUGAAUGCAAAAAAUUAUUCACUUACUUUUCAGAGGUGCUAGAAGGAAACUUUUGUUAAUGUUUUGACUUUAAUAAACUGCAUGCUUCUUGUUCUCA
rnacentral:lncRNA from 1 species